GUGUCUGCAGAACGUAGUUCCGGAUUUGCACGUUCGACUUCCGGUGCGAUCGGCCUUUGGGGCUUGCGAAUAUUACAAGUGCUCGGCAUUAGAGUUUGGCAGGCUAAAGAGGGGUGGUGGUGCCGGAGACUUAAACUCAGGCACCCCAUACAUGGGAGGCCAACUACAUCCCAAGAGACCAUUUCAGACUACAGUUGGAAAGGGACAGAAGUCCCUCCUACACUCAGAAGGAACAUGUUUCUAACAGUCAAGUGUCUUAGGAACCAGCAAAAAUUUGUCCUUCUGCAUCUCAACAGGAUUUCUUUGUCAUCAUA